CCAGAGAACUUUCCAGAGAUGGAUUGGUGCCUUUCGGGAACUCUGAGACAGGUGCUGCAUGGCUGUCGUCAGCUCGUGUUGUGAAAUGUUGGGUUAAGUCCCGCAACGAGCGCAACCCUUAUCCUUUGUUGCCAGCGGUUAGGCCGGGAACUCAAAGGAGACUGCCAGUGAUAAACUGGAGGAAGGUGGGGAUGACGUCAAGUCAUCAUGGCCCUUACGAGUAGGGCUACACACGUGCUACAAUGGCGCAUACAAAGAGAAGCGACCUCGCGAGAGCAAGCGGACCUCAUAAAGUGCGUCGUAGUCCGGAUUGGAGUCUGCAACUCGACUCCAUGAAGUCGGAAUCGCUAGUAAUCGUGGAUCAGAAUGCCACGGUGAAUACGUUCCCGGGCCUUGUACACACCGCCCGUCACACCAUGGGAGUGGGUUGCAAAAGAAGUAGGUAGCUUAACCUUCGGGAGGGCGCUUACCACUUUGUGAUUCAUGACUGGGGUGAAGUCGUAACAAGGUAAGCGUAGUGCU
rnacentral:rRNA from 1 species